rnacentral:rRNA from 1 species
GUGAGGAAUAUUGGUCAAUGGACGGAAGUCUGAACCAGCCAUGCCGCGUGCAGGAAUAAGGUCCUAUGGAUUGUAAACUGCUUUUAUUCGGGAAUAAACCUCUUUACGUGUAGGGAGCUGAAGGUACCGAAGGAAUAAGCACCGGCUAACUCCGUGCCAGCAGCCGCGGUAAUACGGAGGGUGCAAGCGUUAUCCGGAAUCAUUGGGGUUAAAGGGUCCGCAGGCGGGCUAUCAAGUCAGAGGUGAAAUCCCACAGCUUAACUGUGGAACUGCCUUUGAAACUGAUGGUCUUGAAUUAAGUGGGCGUUGGCGGAAUAUGACAUGUAGCGGUGAAAUGCAUAGAUAUGUCAUGGAACACCGAAAGCGAAGGCAGCUAACGAUACUUAUAUCGACGCUCAUGGACGAAAGCGUGGGUAGCGAACAGGAUUAGAAACCCCGGUAGUCC